ACUGAUGAAGUAAAUUUUUGAAGGAAAACCCCUCAAUAACGCAGGAUUUUGUUUUUCAUGACGAUGGCAGAGAAUCUAUCCCUCCCGGAAACGAGUCGGCAGGUGUGCGCAUGCGCAUCAGCCCAGCUGCCUCCUUUUCCGUCUUCUCCUUCUCGAACGUUCCAUCUUCCACGCGGCAGCAGCGUGAGUAUCGUCGCAAGUCCGACUUGACGACUCUGCUUCAUUUUUUUCCUAGAUUCGCUUGACUUAUUAUUUGAACAACGGCGACGUUGCUUUGAAGGCGUGCGACAGUUGAGCUUUUCAUUUCAUUUCAUUAUUUCAUCAACAUUCUGACCCUCAAACAUGUAUAAUUAUCAUAUACGAUAGGCAUAGUAAUCGAUCCGUCGAGCUUUAAAAAAUAAAAUAAAAUUUAAAAAAGAAGCUUGAAGCAGUGGCGUCCAAAUGAAGAGAGCACGUGACGUGACACGGACGUUGUUCCUUUGCAGGAGCUGCCAUGACCCACGUUGGCCGCAAGAUGGCGGCAGAAACCGCAGUAAACGUUUGACGUUUGUCACGAAGUAGUCACAUUUUCAUUUUGUCAAUAAUAAAGCUAUUUUGCACUUUA